rnacentral:rRNA from 1 species
GAUGAACGCUGGCGGCGUGCCUAAUACAUGCAAGUCGAGCGAACGGACGAGAAGCUUGCUUUUCUGAUGUUAGCGGCGGACGGGUGAGUACCACGUGGAUAGCCUACCUAUAAGACUGGGAUAACUUCGGGAAACCGGAGCUAAUACCGGAUAAUAUUUUGGACAGCAUGGUUCCAGAGUGAAAGACGGUCUUGCUGUCACUUAUAGAUGGAACCGCGCUGCAUUAGCUAGUUGGUAAGGUACGGCAUACCCAGGAAACGAUGCAUAGCCGCCCUGAGAGGGUGAUCGGCCAGACGGGAACUGAGACACGGUCCAGACUCCUACGGUAGGCAGCAGUAGGGAAUCUUCCGCGAUGGGCGAAAGCCUGACGGAGCAACGCCGCGUGAGUGAUGAAGGUCUUAGGAUGGUAAAACGCUGUUAUUAGGGAAGAACAUAUGUGUAAUUAACUGGGAACAUCUUGACGGUACCUAAUCAGAAAGCCACGGCUAACUACGUG